rnacentral:rRNA from 1 species
AGUGAACGCUGGCGGUAGGCCUAACACAUGCAAGUCGAACGGCAGCACAGUAAGAGCUUGCUCUUACGGGUGGCGAGUGGCGGACGGGCGAGGAAUACAUCGGAAUCUACUUUUUCGUGGGGGAUAACGUAGGGAAACUUACGCUAAUACCGCAUACGACCUACGGGUGAAAGCAGGGGAUCUUCGGACCUUGCGCGAUUGAAUGCGCCGAUGUCGGAUUAGCUAGUUGGCGGGGUAAAGGCCCACCAAGGCGACGAUCCGUAGCUGGUCUGAGAGGAUGAUCAGCCACAUUGGAACUGAGACACGGUCCAGACUCCUACGGGAGGCAGCAGUGGGGAAUAUUGGACAAUGGGCGCAAGCCUGAUCCAGCCAUACCGCGUGGGUGAAGAAGGCCUUCGGGUUGUAAAGCCCUUUUGUUGGGAAAGAAAAGCAGCAGGUUAAUACCCCGCUGUUCUGACGGUACCCAAAGAAUAAGCACCGGCUAACUUCGUG